rnacentral:rRNA from 1 species
GAUGAACGCUGGCGGCGUGCCUAAUACAUGCAAGUCGAGCGAACAGAUGAGAAGCUUGCUUCUCUGAUGUUAGCGGCGGACGGGUGAGUAACCCGUGGGUAACCUACCUAUAAGACUGGGAUAACUCAGGGAAACCGGGGCUAAUACCGGAUAAUAUUUUGAACCGCAUGGUUCGUUAGUGAAAGACGGUUUCGGCUGUAACUUAUAGAUGGACCCGCGCCGUAUUAGCUAGUUGGUAAGGUAACGGCUUACCAAGGCGACGAUACGUAGCCGACCUGAGAGGGUGAUCGGCCACACUGGAACUGAGACACAGUCCAGACUCCUACGGGAGGCAGCAGUAGGGAAUCUUCCGCAAUGGGCGAAAGCCUGACGGAGCAACGCCGCGUGAGUGAUGAAGGUCUUCGGAUCGUAAAACUCUGUUGUUAGGGAAGAACAAAUUUGUUAGUAACUGAACAAGUCUUGACGGUACCUAACCAGAAAGCCACGGCUAACUACGUGCCAGCCGCCGCAGUAA